CCUACGGGUGGCAGCAGUCGGGAAUAUUGCGCAAUGGAGGAAACUCUGACGCAGUAACGCCGCGUGCAGGAAGAAGGCUUUCGGGUUGUAAACUGCUUUAGACAGGGAAGAGUAAAGACAGUACCCGUAGAAUAAGCUCCGGCUAACUACGGGCCCACAGCCGCGGGAAUACGUAGGGUGCCAGCGUUUUCCGGAUUUAUUGGGUGGAAAGGGUGCGGAGACGGGGAAGCAAGUUAGUUGUGAAAUCCCUCGGCUUAACUGAGGAACUGCAAGUGAAACUACUUCCCUUGAGUACUGGAGAGGAAGGUGGAAUUCCUAGUGUAGCGGUGAAAUGCGUAGAUAUUAGGAGGAACACCAGUGGCGAAGGCGACUUUCUGGACAGUAACUGACGGUGAGGCACGAAAGUGUGGGGAGCAAACAGGAUUAGAUACCCUAGUAGUC
rnacentral:rRNA from 1 species